CUCAAAGCCAAAAAUCAAAGACCCCGUAGAGACCCUCAUUCUAAAUGGCAACACUGUUAUCCACAUUUCGUGGAUUCAGUUUCAGCGGCACCUCCUCACUGAACAGCUCCUCAGGGUAAUGUCCAAGCGGAUACUGAGAAAGAAAGAAGGGAAAUGCAUUUGAUUAUCUUCAAAUUCCGUCACAGGUUGUUGACAUGAACCAGUCGGGAUCUUUUCAUUUCACAAAGCCAUUCUAAGGUAAAGACCAUUAUAAUUUCUGCUUGUCUUCUCACUUUUUUAAUUCCUUUAUUGUACAUCACCAUGUCUAUGGAGUUAUUUUGUGCCUAAAGUUUCAAAUAAAUUGAUCAGAUUAAU